rnacentral:rRNA from 1 species
UACGGGGGGAGCAAGCGUUGUUCGGAUUUACUGGGCGUAAAGGGCGCGUAGGCGGCCUCCGCAAGUCAGUUGUGAAAUCUCCGGGCUUAACCCGGAAAGGUCAACUGAUACUGUCGGGCUAGAGUCCGGAAGAGGCAAGUGGAAUUCCUGGUGUAGCGGUGAAAUGCGCAGAUAUCAGGAGGAACACCGAUGGCGAAGGCAGCUUGCUGGGACGGUACUGACGCUGAGACGCGAAAGCGUGGGGAGCAAACAGG